GACGAACGCUGGCGGCGUGCCUAAUACAUGCAAGUCGAACGCAGUGGGGACGGGUGAGUAACACGUGGGUGACCUCCCAUCAGAGGGGAUAAACCUUGGAAACAGGUGCUAAACAGAUGCUGCUGGAUGGACCCGGGGUGCAUUAGCUAGUUGGUGUGGGAACGGCCCACCCAGGCCACGAGGCAUAGGCGACCGUAGAGUGUGAUCGGCCACACUGGGACUUAGCACCGGCCCAGACUCCUGCGGGGUGCAGCAGUAGGGAAUCUUCGGCAAUGGACGAAAGUCUGACCGAGCAACGCCGCGUGAGUGAAGAAGUUUUUCGGAUCGUAAAACUCUGUUGUUAGAGAAGCGGUAUCUAACCAGAAAGCCACGGCUAACUACGUGCCAGCAGCCGCGGUAAUUC
rnacentral:rRNA from 1 species